rnacentral:lncRNA from 10 species
CGGCCGCCCAUCAUCUGAGAUGUGGGGAGCGCCUCUGCCCGGCCGCGACCCCGUCUGGGAGGUGAGGAGCGUCUCCGCCCGGCAGCCGCCCCAUCUGAGAAGUGAGGAGCCCCUCCGCCUGGCAGCCGCCCCACCUGAGAAAAGAAACCUCUCUCCUUGAACACCAUUGCCCCUGGCCCACAGCAAGUACUGCCUAGCUACUGCUAAUGUUCACUCAAGGACCAAGGCUCUUCAAUCAGCUGUGGUGAAUGUUGCCAGGCCUGAAACUCUCCCUUCAGGGCAGUGGGCUCUGCUAUGGCCCAGGGAAGGUCCAAAACUGCCAUCCAGGAGCCAAGGCCUGGAAUUAGGGGGCCCAGGAGCCCUCUUGGUGUUCUACCUCACCGUGGCCAAGUUGAUACCCAAGCUGCAAGACAAAGUCACCUCUACUCUUCCCUCUCUCUUCCUCAAGGAGAAGGAGUCUUUUCCUAUGGCCACCACAGCUGGGAAUGCCCUGGGUUAUACUGGAAGUCAGCAUGGCCCUGGGUCUCACCUAAGUUCCAUGUUUCAGGUUUGCAAGUCAGCUGGG